rnacentral:sRNA from 1 species
CUUGAUCCCUGAUGGAAACGGCAUCUUUUUUAUCUCGAUUUUUUCGGUAUAAAAGAUAUAGUGAACAGCAGGAACUUUA